rnacentral:rRNA from 1 species
AUCCUUUGUUGUGUGGUGACAUGCAGCAUAGGAUGCAUUUGUUAGAGUAAACCAACUAUGGGAUCUGUCAAAGGAUCCAUUGGUGAGUCUAGAUAACUGCGCUGAUCGUAUGGCCUUGUGCCGGCGACGUUUCAAUCAAAUUUCUGCCCUAUCAACUUGUUGGUAAGGUCGUGGCUUACCAAGGUGAUAACGGGUAACGGGGAAUCAGGGUUCGAUUCCGGAGAGGGAGCCUGAGAAACGGCUACCACAUCCAAGGAAGGCAGCAGGCGCGCAAAUUACCCAAUCCAGACACUGGGAGGUGGUGACGAGAAAUACCAGGUCGCUCCCAAAAGGAUGUGACACUGGAAUGAACACAAUAUAAGACAUUUGUCGAGUAACAACUGGAGGGCAAGUCUGGUGCCAGCAGCCGCGGUAAUUCCAGCUCCAGUAGUGUAUCCUAAAGUUGCUGCGGUUAAAACGCUCGUAGUUGGAUUACGGGGUAGUUUUCUUCGGUCUGCUAUCGAUAAUGGUGUGUGUGUGAGUGGUGAUUUUGCGAUUGCUGAUUGCACAUAUGCUUGGUGGUGGACUCUGAUAGAAGACUACCACUUGUAUCGUGAGGAUGGUGGUUGGCCUUUACUGUGUUGCCCACUGUGUCUUGCGGAGUGUGCCUUGAAUAAAUCAGAGUGCUCAAAGCAGGCGUAUUGCUUGAAUGUUAAUAGCAUGGAACGAACAAUUGUGAUAUGUGUUGUUGGGAUGGAAAGAAUGGUUAAUUUGGUUUAAUUUGUUCUAUUUGUCUCAACAAUACAGCACCAACCACGAUGCGUAAGUUGGUUUACGUGAUCGGGUGAUGAUUAAGAGGAGUCAUUGGGGGUAUUGGUAUUUGGCCGCGAGAGGUGAAAUUCUUGGACCGGCCAAGGACCGACAAAUGCGGAAGCAUUUACCAAGAUGACAUCCAUUAAUCAAGAACGAAAGUGAGAGGUUCGAAGACGAUCAGAUACCGUCCUAGUUCUCACCGUAAACUAUGCCAACCCGGGAUCAGUUGUGAUCGAUUUUACAUAAGAUCCAUGUUGGUCCCCCUGGGAAACCUCAAGUCUUUAGGUUCCGGGGGGAGUAUGGUUGCAAGGCUGAAACUUAAAGGAAUUGACGGAAGGGCACCACCAGGAGUGGAGCCUGCGGCUUAAUUUGACUCAACACGGGAAAACUCACCUGGUCCGGACAUUGAUAGGAUUGACAGACUGAUAGCUCUUUCAUGAUACGGUGGAUGGUGGUGCAUGGCCGUUCUUAGUUCGUGGAGCGAUCUGUCAGGUUUAUUCCGGUAACGAACGAGACCACAAUCUUCAUUUAAGGGAUUAGAGUUGGUAGAGUUGUGGUGCUGCUGAGAAGUAGAGUGAUGGUGUGCCAGUUGUGUGAUUGUGUGGGGAUUUGGCCAAUGUAUAUUAGGGGUUAAACCUUGGUGGUAUGUUGGUUGAGUUAUACCAAACUUGCAUGAUUAUAUGAUUGGUGAGUUCUGUUAUUAAAACCUUGGUGUGUGCUGCUCUCUCCCUCUAUUGUGUCGUGAAUGCGUCACUAUGGAGAGACAACCGGAGAUAAAGC